AGUGAACGCUGGCGGUAGGCCUAACACAUGCAAGUCGAACGGCAGCACAGUAAGAGCUUGCUCUUACGGGUGGCGAGUGGCGGACGGGUGAGGAAUACAUCGGAAUCUACUUUUUCGUGGGGGAUAACGUAGGGAAACUUACGCUAAUACCGCAUACGACCUACGGGUGAAAGCAGGGGAUCUUCGGACCUUGCGCGAUUGAAUGAGCCGAUGUCGGAUUAGCUAGUUGGCGGGGUAAAGGCCCACCAAGGCGACGAUCCGUAGCUGGUCUGAGAGGAUGAUCAGCCACACUGGAACUGAGACACGGUCCAGACUCCUACGGGAGGCAGCAGUGGGGAAUAUUGGACAAUGGGCGCAAGCCUGAUCCAGCCAUACCGCGUGGGUGAAGAAGGCCUUCGGGUUGUAAAGCCCUUUUGUUGGGAAAGCAAAGCAGCAGGUUAAUACCCCGCUGUUCUGACGGUACCCAAAGAAUAAGCACCGGCUAACUUCGUG
rnacentral:rRNA from 1 species